GACGAACGCUGGCGGCGUGCUUAACACAUGCCAGUCGAACGGUGAAGCGCCUUCCUUUUUGGUGGGUGUGGAUGAGUGGCGAACGGGUGAGUAACACGUGAGUAACCUGCCCCCUUCUUCUGGAUAACCGCAUGAAAGUGUGGCUAAUACGGGAUAUUCUGGGUCUGUCGCAUGAUGGGUCUGGGAAAGAUGUUGUUUCGGUGGGGGAUGGGCUCGCGGCCUAUCAGCUUGUUGGUGGGGUGAUGGCCUACCAAGGCGGUGACGGGUAGCCGGCCUGAGAGGGUGGACGGUCACACUGGGACUGAGACACGGCCCAGACUCCUACGGGAGGCAGCAGUGGGGAAUAGUGCACAAUGGGCGCAAGCCUGAUGCAGCGACGCCGCGUGAGGGAUGGAGGCCUUCGGGUUGUGAACCUCUUUCGCCAGUGAAGCAGGCCUGCCUCGUUUGUGGGUGGGUUGACGGUAGCUGGAUAAGAAGCGCCGGCUAACUACGUG
rnacentral:rRNA from 1 species